rnacentral:rRNA from 1 species
UACGUAGGGUGCAAGCGUUGUCCGGAAUUAUUGGGCGUAAAGAGCUCGUAGGCGGUUUGUCGCGUCGAAUGUGAAAACCCGGGGCUCAACCCCGGGCCUGCAUUCGAUACGGGCAGACUAGAGUUCGGUAGGGGAGUCUGGAAUUCCUGGUGUAGCGGUGGAAUGCGUAGAGAUCCGGAAGAACACCGGUGGCGAAGGCGGUCUGCUGGGCCAAGACUGACGCUGAGGCGCGACAGCGUGGGGAGCAAACAGG